rnacentral:rRNA from 1 species
AGAGCGAACGCUGGCGGCAGGCCUAAUACAUGCAAGUCGAACGCACCUUCGGGUGAGUGGCGGAUGGGUGAGUAACACGUGGGAACGUGCCCUUUGGUUCGGAAUAAUCCGGGGAAACCUGGCCUAAUACCGAAUGUGCCCUACGGGGGAAAGAUUUAUCGCCAUUGGAGCGGCCCGCGUCUGAUUAGCUAGUUGGUGAGGUAAAAGCUCACCAAGGCGACGAUCAGUAGCUGGUCUGAGAGGAUGAUCAGCCACACUGGGACUGAGACACGGCCCAGACUCCUACGGGAGGCAGCAGUAGGGAAUCUUGCGCAAUGGGCGAAAGCCUGACGCAGCCAUGCCGCGUGAAUGAUGAAGGUCUUAGGAUUGUAAAUUCUUUCAGCAGGGAAGAUAAUGACUGUACCUGCAGAAGAACGCCCGGACUAACUUCGCGCCAGCAGCCGC